UCAGACUCGACUUCGACUCGGACUAGCCCACACAGGAUGACGACCAUGUCAUCCCGCAAGUCAAUUUCAACUCAAAGUCGAUUCCUGCACGGACUCCGCAACGCAACUGGGGUCCACUAGAAUUCCUUACUCAAGUCCAAUCCGAACUAGAGAUAGCUAAGGACCGCGACUACGAUUCGAACUCUGUCCAAGAGAUCCCUUUGUCAAGCCCAUCUCAAGACUUGGUAAUUACUUCAACUCCACAAGGCAGAAACAUUUAUUGGCCUAGGAUAAAGCCAUCAUUCCUACCCCAAGAUUACGACUCACACCUUGUCGCUCACAUAGACAACCUCCCGUAUCACGAAGGCAUCCCGCUU
rnacentral:lncRNA from 1 species